rnacentral:rRNA from 1 species
CCUCCUUUGUUCUGCCGUUCUUACUAUUGCUCCCUGGGGGCCCCCCUGAUGCAGCGACGCCGCGUGAGUGAAGAAGUAUUUCGGUAUGUAAAGCUCUAUCAGCAGGGAAGAAAAAAGACGGUACCUGACUAAGAAGCCCCGGCUAACUACGUGCCAGCAGCCGCGGUAAUACGGAGGGGGCAAGCGUUACCCGGAUUUACUGGGUGGAAAGGGAGCGUAGACGGUGCGUCAAGUCUGAUGUGAAAGCCCGGGGCUUAACCCCGGGACUGCUUUGGAGACUGGCGCGCUAGAGUGCUGGAGAGGUAAGUGGAAUUCCUAGUGUAGCGGUGAAAUGCGUAGAUAUUAGGAGGAACACCAGUGGCGAAGGCGGCUUACUAAACAGUGACUGACGUUGAGGCUCGAAAGCGUGGGGAGCAAACAGGAUUAGAUACCCUUGUAGUC